rnacentral:tRNA from 1 species
GCCCAUGUAGCUCAGUUGGUAGUAGCGUUUGUCUUACACACAAAAUGUCGGCAGUUCGAAUCUGUCCGUGGGUA